AUUGAACGCUGGCGGCAUGCUUUACACAUGCAAGUCGAACGGUAACAGGGAGCUUGCUCCGCUGACGAGUGGCGAACGGGUGAGUAAUGCAUCGGAACGUACCCAGUCGUGGGGGAUAACGUAGCGAAAGUUACGCUAAUACCGCAUACGUCCUGAGGGAGAAAGCGGGGGACCGUAAGGCCUCGCGCGAUUGGAGCGGCCGAUGUCGGAUUAGCUAGUUGGUAGGGUAAAGGCCUACCAAGGCGACGAUCCGUAGCGGGUCUGAGAGGAUGAUCCGCCACCACUGGGACUGAGACACGGCCCAGACUCCUACGGGAGGCAGCAGUGGGGAAUUUUGGACAAAUGGGCGAAAGCCUGAUCCAGCCAUGCCGCGUGAGUGAAGAAGGCCU
rnacentral:rRNA from 1 species